rnacentral:misc_RNA from 1 species
GAAAUUGUCCAGACUAGACCAUGUUUCAGAUUACCAGGGUAGUCAACAUUUUAGCAAUGAUAUUUAACAUCCUAUUGCUCUAAAUGUCAUAAUACACAGUAUUUGGAACAGACAAGUUUCACUGUAGUUACAGUUGUAGAACUUGACAAACUUUGUGACGCUAAGUGUUGUGAUGUGACCUUGUUUUUUUGUUGCUGUUUUAAUGGCAUUUGUCAACAGCAAUGGGGCAUUUACUUAGUUCCCAACAUGACUCUGUGACUUAUUGCAUGGAUAAGCCUAUGAUUUUAGCCUACUUGAUAUUAGAAUCACAUGUAACUAUAGGUUUUAUGUUUGGAAAUGUUUUGACGUUGCUUUUCUGCACUGACUGUGUUACUUUUCUGUAAACAUUGUAAUGUAUCUGUACACAUCGUGAUGUAUCUGUACAAAUUGUGAUGUAUCUGUACACAUUGUGAUGUAUCUGUACACAUUGUGAUGUAUCUGUACACAUUGUGAUGUAUCUGUACGCAUUGUAAUGUGUCUGUCCACAUCGUGAUGUAUCUGUACACAUCAUGAUGUAUCUGUACACAUUGUUAUGUAUCUGUACACAUCGUGAUGUAUAUGUACACAUUGUGAUGUAUCUGUACACAUUGUGAUGUAUCUGUACACAUUGUGAUGUAUAUGUAUACACAUUGUAAUGUGUCUGUACACAUUGUUAUGUGUCUGUACACAUUGUAAUGUGUCUGCACACAUUGUAAUGUGUCUGUACACAUUGUAAUGUGUCUGUACACAAUGUGAUGUAUAUGUAUACACAUUGUAAUGUGUCUGUACACAUUGUAAUGUGUCUUUACACAUUGUAAUGUGUCUGUACACAUUGUAAUGUAUCUGUACACAUUGUAAUGUAUUUGUACACAUUGUAAUGUAUCUGUACACAUUGUGAUGUACAGACACAUUGUAAUGUAUCUUUACACAUUGUAAUGUGUCUGUACAUAUUGUAAUGUAUCUGUACACAUCGUGAUGUAAACAUGGUGAAUUUUGACCACUCUAUAAGAUGUGCAAUGUCUGUACACAUUGUAAUGUAUCUGUACACAUCGUGAUGUAAACAUUGUGAAUUUUGACCACUCUAUAAGAUGUGCAAUGUCUGUACACAUUGUAAUGUAUCUGUACACAUCGUGAUGUAAACAUUGUGAAUUUUGACCACUCUAUAAGAUGUGCAAUGUCUGUACACAUUGUAAUGUAUCUGUACACAUCGUGAUGUAAACAUUGUGAAUUUUGACCACUCUAUAAGAUGUGCAAUGAAGUUCUCUCUCUGAACCUUGUCUCCAUUGUUUAUGGUUUCAUCCAAGAUGAAUUAAUAAACAGUUUUAUG